GCCCGGCCAGCUCAGCCGGUAGAGCGCGAGACUCUUAAUCUCGGGGGCGUGGGUUCGAGUCCCGUGUUGGGCG
rnacentral:tRNA from 1 species